UCGAAGCCACCAUCAAAGAUCUGCCACCAUCAAAGCUCUCAAAGAUCGAAGAUCAAAGCCACCAUCCCUUCCAACCUUGAAAUCUGAAGAUCGAAGCCACCAUUGAAGAUCGAAGCCACCAUCAAAGCUCUCAAAGAAAAGGAAGCUCGGUGUCAUUUCACAUCUUUGUUUCUGUUUUUUAGAGAGAGAAAGCUAAUGUUUUGGAAGGAGAGAUAACAAUUUUCCUGUUGUUCACCUAGACACCAAGAACACACGCACAAGUGUGUGAGAGAGAAACAGGUGGAAAGAUGUUUUGUGUUCAAGAUGAAGAUGGUUAUCAAGAAGCGAAACCCGCGGAAGGAUUACAACGCAUCAUCAGGUUUUCGUGGUGACGAUGGUGUUGUUGUGAAGGCAAUUUUUAGAAGACCAUUUUUAGAAGCAUUACAACUAUUGAUAUAAAAUUUAUUUUUAUUUUCAUUGUUAGUAUGCCAAUAUUUGGAUGAAUACGGAUGUUGUUGUGAAGGCAA